UGGGGAAUUUUGGACAAUGGGGGAAACCCUGAUCCAGCCAUCCCGCGUGUGCGAUGAAGGCCUCCGGGUUGUAAAGCACUUUUGGCAGGAAAGAAACGUCAUGGGUUAAUACCCCGUGAAACUGACGGUACCUGCAGAAUAAGCACCGGCUAACUACGUGCCAGCAGCCGCGGUAAUACGUAGGGUGCAAGCGUUAAUCGGAAUUACUGGGCGUAAAGCGUGCGCAGGCGGUUCGGAAAGAAAGAUGUGAAAUCCCAGAGCUCAACUUUGGAACUGCAUUUUUAACUACCGGGCUAGAGUGUGUCAGAGGGAGGUGGAAUUCCGCGUGUAGCAGUGAAAUGCGUAGAUAUGCGGAGGAACACCGAUGGCGAAGGCAGCCUCCUGAGAUAACACUGACGCUCAUGCAAGAAAGCGUGGGGAGCAAACAGG
rnacentral:rRNA from 1 species